GCAGGGUUCGUACAUCGGUAGUACAGCGGCUUCCCAAGCCGCUGAGGCGGGUUCGACUCCCGUACCCUGCUCCA
rnacentral:tRNA from 3 species